rnacentral:rRNA from 1 species
GUAGGUGGCAAUCGUUGUCCGGAAUUAUUGGGCGUAAAGCGCGCGCAGGCGGUCCUUUAAGUCUGAUGUGAAAGCCCACGGCUCAACCGUGGAGGGUCAUUGGAAACUGGGGGACUUGAGUACAGAAGAGGAAAGCGGAAUUCCAAGUGUAGCGGUGAAAUGCGUAGAGAUUUGGAGGAACACCAGUGGCGAAGGCGGCUUUCUGGUCUGUAACUGACGCUGAGGCGCGAAAGCGUGGGGAGCAAACAGGAUUAGAUACCCUGGUAGUCCACGCCGUAAACGAUGAGUGCUAAGUGUUAGGGGGUUUCCCGCCCCCUUAGUGCUGCAGCUAACGCAUUAAGCACUCCGCCUGGGGUAGUACGGCCGCAGGCUG